rnacentral:hammerhead_ribozyme from 1 species
UGGCGAAACAGAGGAUUUCCCCUGUCUUCCGGGUGUGACGGCCUGGAACUGAUGAGCUAGCCUAGG